rnacentral:misc_RNA from 1 species
UUCUCGCUUUUAAAGCGUUUGGUUGCAAAGUUAAUUUUUUUUUUUUUCUUGUUUUAUCCGAGUCGUGUAAUUUUAUUUUGUAUAAUCACUGAUGUUUUUUAAAUAUUUAAGCUCUUGGAUGUAAUCCUCGGAAGAUCUGAAAAUGAGUACGAGAGAACCUUCUGAGAGCCGAGUAAAAGAUGAGAAAGAUUCCUCUAAUAAUGGAACAGUUGAUACCUCAACAGAACAAAAUUCAUCUAGCUCAUCAAAACAACCAUUGAAGAAGUCAGCAAAAGAUUUUAGAUUUGGGAAACUCAUUGGCGAAGGAUCAUUCUCUAUGGUGUAUUUAGCCAAAGAUAUUCAUUCUAAUAAAGAAUAUGCAAUUAAAGUAUGUGAGAAGCGACACAUUUUGCGAGAGAAGAAGCAGAAAGCCGUAAUGAGAGAGAAACAAAUUUUAAAUAUUCUCAAUAAUCAUCCUAGCCCGUUUUUUAUUAAGUUAUAUUGCACAUUUCAAGAUAGUGAUAGGUUAUAUUUUGUAAUGAACUAUGCAAAACAUGGUGAACUUCUUCCUUAUAUUAUCAAAGUUGGUUCAUUUGAUGAGGAAUGUACAAGGUUCUAUACUGCUGAAAUAUUGCUUGCAAUUGAGCAUUUGCAUAAAUUAUCUAUAAUUCACAGGGAUUUAAAACCUGAAAAUAUUCUGCUGGAUGAAAAUAUGCAUAUUCAAAUUACAGACUUUGGAUCUGCAAAAGUCAUAAAUGCCGAGAAUAAUGAUUCUUCUAGUGGUGAACCUGCAAGAAAAAAUUCAUUUGUAGGAACCGCUCAAUAUGUAUCUCCUGAAAUGUUAAGUGAUAAAAGUGCAUCACCAAGUGUUGACUUAUGGGCCUUAGGAUGUAUAAUUUAUCAAAUGGUCUCUGGUCUUCCACCAUUUAGAGCAGCGAAUGAAUACUUAAUGUUUCAGAAGAUAUCUAAGCUGGAAUAUGACUUUCCUGAUGGAUUUUCAGUUUUGGCUAAAGAUCUUGUACAGAAGUUAUUGGUUUUAGAGCCAUCUGAACGUUUAGGUUCAAAGGAUACAAAUGGAUAUCCAUCUAUAAGAAGGCAUUCAUUUUUAAACAAUAUUCCUUGGGACACUCUACAUGAGUGUACUCCUCCUAGAAUUCUUCCAUAUUUACCAGGCACUUCAAGCAAUGAAGAACUGAGAAGCCAGUAUCAGGUUCCUGAUCAUUUAGAACCAGGAUUAGAUGAUAAACAAAUGACAAGGCUUUUAGGCUUAGCUCUUCAAGAAGAUGAAGAAGUUGUUAGUAAACCUGCCAGGAAGACUUCUAUAUUAGAUAUUCAGCCUGAUGAAAUGGCACAGAGAUUAGAACUUCAAGCAAAAAAUAAUACUUGGCAUAAAUUUGUUCAAGGAAAUCUUAUUCUUAAACAAGGAUUAGUUGAUAAAAGAAAAGGUUUGUUUGCGCGACGUAGAAUGCUUCUUCUUACUACUGGACCUCAUUUAUAUUAUGUGGAUCCCCAAAAUAUGGUGCUUAAAGGAGAAAUUCCAUGGUCUCCUGAGCUACGUGCUGAGCCAAAGAAUUUUAAAAUAUUCUUUGUUCAUACCAAGGCAGAAUGUUGGAUUUGAAAAAGAAAUAUGAAAGAAAAUAUGAAAACUGUCGCCAAAAAAAAAAGAUAAUGCAAUAAUAUGCGAAGUAAACAUUCAUAAUUAUUAAAAUAUUUCCUAACCGUACAUAUUACUUGGAAGACUCGGAGGGAUAUGCAUUGAAUUGGUGUAAAGCAAUAGAAGAAGUUCGUAAAGCAACAUAUGCACAAAGCUCUUAACCUUAGUUUUUAAAUAGCAAUACAUUUUCAAAUUACAGGGACCCUCAUAUCUUCUGUAUAUUUAAAGACUAUUAGAACUGUAAAAGUUGAUUGUUUUAUUAAAUUUAUUAAGAACUGAUGCUCACAUGCAUGGUAUUUGUGAGUAUCUGUUUUUCAGUGUGUAGUUCUUUUGGUGAUUAUUUAUUGACUGUGUACCUAAUUUCAGUUCUUUGCCUUCUGUCUCUAGAAAUAACUGAAAACAUAACUACACCCAUUAGUGAUCAAUUGUACAAUGAAUUUUAAUUUAUUGUUUUAUUUAUGAAUUAUUUUAAAAUUUAUAAAGUAAAAAUUGUGGAAAUUCAAAGCAGAAUUAGUGUAAAUCUGUGAAUUUUGAAAAUAUAUGCUUUUUUUUUUUUUUUUUUUAAUGUUUGUAACAGAAAAUGUUUCACCAUCUAUAUAAAUUUUGGUGUUGCCUUGGUAAAGCUAAAUUAUAAUUAUUAAAAUGUGUUUAAUCUUGAUUCUUGUGCCCUCUAAGCAUGUAUAAUACACAAGUGAAGCUAAUGUGUAGCCAUAAGUUAUUUUAAUAGUUACAUUUUGUGGAAAGUCAAAAAAUUAAUAAUAAUUUUCAUUGUAAAAAUUUCAGUAAAAGAUACUGAGAAAGAAUAAAUUCAGUAAAUAAUAUUUUAAUUGAUAAGGAGGCAAGUUAAGAGUGAAAUUGUGCAGCUUAUUAGCAGAGAAAUUUUUAUCUUUGUUGUAAUGUUUUUAGUAAACUAACUUGCACCAAUGUGUAUACAUAUAUAUAAAAACUCAUAAAUAAUAAAUGAAAACUAUUGAUAGUAUUAAAAUAAUUUUAAACAAUUUCCAUUUUCUUAAUUAAUAACAUUGUUUUAUGGUCUAGAAUGUGCAUAGUGCUACUUGUUAUUUUAAGUCUGAAAGUUGAAGAAAACAUUCAGUCUUAAAAGUUAAAACAAAUUUUUAUUUAUGUAAUGGAUAUAUGUUACUUUAGUGACUUAUUGAACUUUUCCAAAAAUGUAUUGAUUAAUAAUUAUAAUGAUUUAAUUAAUACUUUGUUAAUAACUAAAAUAGUGCAUUCAAAAAAUAAAUAUUCUUUCAGGGGACUCGAAAAAAUGAGUUUCCUAGAAUAUGAGAAAAUGGCUGAAUUACUUGUAAUUUAAUUAUUUUUUGGAGCACAAAAUCUUUGCAAAGUAAUAUAUUAGGAUUUAAGGGAUGAAAUAGGUUAAUGGACUUUUGUUAAAUAUCAAAAAAUUAUUUGCUAUAGUUAUGUUAAUUUUUAUUAAAAUGAAAUUUUCUGAACUAAUGUUUCAAAUGAAUUUGAGAGAAUUAGUUGUGUAUUUUUUAACCAUCUGAAGCAGUUGAAAUUAUUUGCUGUGCUUUCUAGUUUUAUUUAAUAGUUUUGAUUUGUUAAAAUGUUUCUACCCAAUGAAAAGUAACUGUAAUUUGUUCAGUUGUAGUUUAAAUGAUUUUCCACUUUCUCCUUUUCUAUUUUUUAGUGGAAGAAAGCAUAAUUAUGAUCCUUUUCAUUUUAAUACGGUGAAACUGCAUUUUUUUUAAAAAGUUAAACCAAUUUUCAAUUUUGUUUUGUGUUGUGUGCUUUCAUUUAUUUGCAUAGAUACCUUCCUCUUGGAAUUUUCCAGAAUAAGUAAUGUGGCUGUAACAUAUUUAAAUUUAAUGUAAGCAGUUUGUAAUUGUGAUAUUACACAAGUUUCUUCUUCAUGUCUGUUACUUUUAAUCAUUAAUGAGAGGAAAAUGUUGUUAAUAAGUGAUUUGUUCUCUGAAACUGAGUCAUAAUUAUGAAUUCUUCUAAGGAGAGUUUAGAAACAUUGUGUAAAGAUUAUAUUUUUUUGUAGUGAAAACUUAUUUGUUUUUUCAUGUAGCAUAUAAGUAUAUUUCACAAACAUAUAUGCAUGCAAAAGUUUUUCUGUACCUGUGGCAAGUGACAUCUAUUUUGGGAUUUGUGCAGAAUUUUUUAUUUCUGUUUCCUCUUGUUUUCAUUUUUCAGGUUUUUCUUGUUUACAUGCGAUUUUGUGUUCUCUAUAAACAUUAUGGAUGCUUUUCAAUUAUUUAUCUAAUUAUUUAAAACCAUGUUUGUAGCUAAAAAAUUAGGUAUUAUUGUUGAAGUUGCACACAAUAGGGAUGAACAAUUUUAUGUCAAAAAACUGAUACUUGAAGCUAUUUCACUUAAGUUCAGGACUGGCUUUCUGCUACCUUUUUGUCAUGUCAGUGUCAAAAAUUGGUUGUAAUUGGUUAAAACUGGGUGAAGUUAAGGAAAGCAUUUAUAGUAUUAUAAUUAGUAGUGUUAUUAAUAAGUACAUCACUUUAAAUGCUUUGGUUAAUAUUUAUACUAUAUUAAUUGUCAGAGAUUGCCAUUAUCAAGUUAGAGAGAAAAUUAUUUGAACAAUUCAAAAUGGUUAUAGGAAUAACCAUAAUGAACCUGUAGUUGUUGUAAGUAUUCAUGUUAGUCCUGAAUAUAUUUUCUGUAAUUCCAUAAAUAUGAGGUCUGAGAAAAAGGACUGACACUUAUUGUUCACAAAAGUCAAUGAAAUAAUAAAAAUAGAAAAAGAAUACAAGUGUAAUAGAAAAGCUGUUAUAAUAAAUAAUGAGCAUGAAGUGGACUUAAUAAGAAAAAAAGUCCCUUUAUAAUUUCUUAGGCCUUUUUUUAUGAAGCAUAUGAUAUUUGUUCAGAAAUAUUUGAGAACUCGUCACUGACAAGCUGAAUGGUUCAAGGAAUAUCUAAAUGCUGUAAAAUCACGUAUACACAAUAAUACCAGAUGAAACAGCCUAAUAAGUUGUCUAGAAUCAUUUGUAAGUCCAUAUUACUUACAAAUACUUAAAAAUUGCAAAGCAUAGAGCUUUGCAAGCAUUGCAUCACAGAGAUGAGAGAGGAGUUGUUGAAGUAAAAAAAUAUUAUUGAAGAAAUAAAUCACAUUUGCUGCAGUUAAAACCUGUUGUUGCAUUGGAUUAAAAUCUUAAAAGAUGAUUGUUAUACUGUCAGUGCUUGUUAAAUAUGGUCAGCAGUAAUGGUCGAUGAACACUUAAAAUAAACUCAGUCAGGCAAUAAUUCAAUAGCAUAUGCUAGCUUAUGUGUUUUAUCUAAUCGGUGAGCAGUAAAAAUAGGGGUAACAAAAAGUUAGAACAUUAUUUUAUGAUAUAAAUGAACAUUUUAUGCUUUACAUCAGAAUAUGUGAAAUCAUCUCUUAUUUCUUAUUCCUGAACUGAAAUUUUUUAGGCUCUUUAGAUUCUAAAUGGAGGUCUAGUUUAAAGGAAACAAAGGCAACAUGAAGAUUUCAUAAUUCUAGUUUGCAUAGUAGUGAUAUUGUCUAGAAAUAUUGUUGGACUUGAAAGAAUAUUCUUCACUUCUCCUUUAUUCAUAGUAAACUGAGAAAUUCUUUGGCUAUUUUAACCAGCCGUUAAAGUGUGAUAGACUGUUCCAGGAAAAAGAGUAGACUGAACUUGAAUGCUGAUGUGUAAUCUUUGAAUAAAUAUUAUUAAACAUAAUAUCUGAAUUUGUUAACAUUAUAUUUGAAAAUUUGUAUUAAAAAUAUAUUCCUCUCUAUUAUUUAUAGUAUUUUGAUGUAUUUUUGUUUAUUUCAUGAGUUUUAACCAAUUACUGCCACUUUUACAGAAGAAAUUAGCUUUUGUGAAACUGGUUUAACUUGUUAUAACCAGUGGUUUUAAUCACUUUGGCACAAACUUGCUAGUCCUAAAUUGAUGAAAUUUACUUCUGGAACUUACUUGAAACUGAUUGCUGUGACAAUUAUUUUCUCGUAAUUUGUAAUUAUGAUAUAUGUUUUCACUCCAAGUUUUGCAGUAUAAAAAGUAUUUUCUGACUUUAUAUUUUACUAGUCCUUCUUACAAUUUUUAAAGUUAUUUUUGUAUUUUUAUUUAAUCAUUCGUAUAUGGUACAAAUACUUCAUAUGUAGCAAAAUGUUUAUACUUCUGUGUUCAAAAAGUUUGCGAAAAUGCUUAUACAACACAUUUGUUGUAAAUGUGAAAAGCUACUGGCAAGUGACUGCACCUUUCAGAACACAUACAUUUUCUCUGUUGUUCCUUGUAUUCAUGGAAGCACUGAGAGAAUACUUUGUUUGGUAUAUGUCAUAGGAAUGGUCAUAUAUCUUGUUUUGAAUAGCUUGUCUGAAAACAUUGAUUUAAAAAAAAAAACUAUUUCAAUAAGAGAGAAGAGCUAGGUCAGAAGGGGAGUAAUCUAGCAAAUAAUCUAAAUAUGUCAUGAGAAGGAUGCAUUUCUGAUCAAAAAAACCUAAUUCCAAUUUAUUCCAAUGUCCUUUAGCAAAAAAUGUUCAAAGCAUGUUUAAACUCCAUUUGCAGUAUAUUAUAUAAUUAUCCUGAGCAUUAAUUCAGUGUUAAAUUUUAGCUUACAUGCUUGUUUUAUUUCAGAUAAUUUCAUAAAAUUUUCACAAACUAUUUUUAAAAUUCCUUGUCAUUGUACAAUUUAAAUCUGUUAUUUUACACCACCCACCAGUUAUUUUUAAUGGGAACUUGUGUAAUUUUAGUACUAUCAUAUGUAAACUGUUCGCUAUUAGAAAAAAAUGCUGGAUAAAAUACUUCAUUCUGUAUGUAAAGAAUAUAAAAAUCAAACAGAGAAAUAUUAACUUUUUCACGGGGGCUCGAAAGUCUGUUUCCUAUAUUUGCUGUGGUCUCGAUGAAAUGGAAGAAAGAAAAGCUAAUCUUAGAGCAAUAAUUUAACAAACAAGAAUUCAGUUGCUCGUGUAUUGUUAUUAUGAAAAACUAUUCAACUGAUUCUCUAUCUUAUCUUUCUGCACUGGUUAAUUGGACAGUAACUUCCAUAAAUUUAUCCAUUUCCUCUUCAUGUUAGGAUUUCUAGAGUUUUUGCAAUAAAACUUAUAGCUGUAUUUCUUUUUCAAAACAAAUAUAUAUUAAUAUUGAGGAUUUAAGGAGGGGAAAAAGAAAGAAAAUUUUUCAUAGCAUUAUUGAGCUUUAAAUUUUUAGAAAAUUUUAAGCAAAUAUAUUUUUCUAAAAAUAUUCAACUGAAAAAAAAAAACUGAUAAAUGACAAUCGAGGGCAUAAAAGCAUAUAGGUCAUUACUAUUCCUUACUUAAAAGUUAUUUGAUUUUGAAAAUAUGCUCCCAACUGCUUUUGUUAGUAUGUGGUUCCAGUUAAUAUGAGAAAAAUAAAAUUGCUUAAAUUUGAUUUUUAUGUAAAGAACAUUAUUUGCUUUCUAAAUAUUUAAAGCUAAAAGCAUAUUAUACACAUGCAUGUUUCAGUUGCAUGAAUUAAUAUUUUUCUACUUUCUCUCCCUUUUGUAACUAAAAACAUUUUAUAACAGUUGUAUUUAUGAAGGUAUAAAUUCAUUUUUUCCUGUAUUUAUAAACCUGUAAAUUCAUUACUUUGAAGAUUAAAUUUAUUAUUCAAAUAAAUUUAAUCUUCAGAAUAUGUCAUAAAUUAAAACUUUCUUUAAACAUAAUUAUAAUGUUAUUUAGUUGCCUUUUUUUGGCGAUGAAAUGUGCUUGAUUUAGCAAAUUAAAAUUACUGUUAGUAUAUAUGAAUUGCAGUAAUAUAAUGUAAUAUCUCUAAAAUAAUAAGAGAGGUUUUAAAAAAUUGCCCUUUAUUGAUUGAAAGUAGAUUUUAUGAAUCAUGCUAUCUUUUCAUACGUAUAAAGAAUUAAGAUUAAUCAUGGAUGGAUAGAAAAAAGUUCAUGCAUGAAUAAAACCACAUUAAAUGAAAUCAUACAUAAGUGGGAAUAUUUUAUCAUUUCUAAAAUAAUCCUAAAACAACCUUUUUCAAAACUAAAUUAAUUUAAAUUAAUUUAAUAUUCAGUUUUUUUUUUUUUUUUUUUUUUUUUUGCAGGUUAUGUGUAGAUGCAUAAAUUUGCAGCAGUUAUUCUAUUACUAUAAAACAAUUAACAAUGCUGUGUAUGUAUGGAAUACAAAAAAUAUAGCAGUAUUCAUUAGUUUUUAUUUUAUCAUUGCUAUUGGUGACAUUUUAGAAAUUUUGCAAAGGCUUUACUUAAAAGCUUACCCAAUACAAAUCUGUAUAUUCAGAUUUGAAUAAUAUAAAUAUAAAAAUGCAUUUAUUUUAGGCAUUAUUUUACCUUUAAUAUUUGAUUCUAUUAAGUACAGAAACUUUAACACGAGUAUCUAAAUAUGGCUGUAAACAACAUCUUUGACUAAAAGAAAAAUAUAGAAAGCAGAUUAAAAGAUCAGAAGGAAGCAAAAAAUCCCCCCCGAUUAAAAUGCAAGAACAUCUACAAAAACAAAUUGAGAGAUUUGAAAACCAAUUCUAACAAAGGAGGCUAAUUUACAUUUUUUAUAAAAUAAUUCUCAAGCCUUAGGCAUUAUUUUCAUUUCCUCCUCCCAUUCCAGUAGAGGAAAUCUAUUCCAUGUUACCACUAAACUGCAGUAUCUCAAAGCAUAUCUGUCCCAGCUUCCCAUAUACAUUACAUUAAAUUUUUCAAUCAUAUUAUUAAGUGCAUUUGCUUUCUCCCUACUUUAAAUUUGUGUAUAAAUUUUUUAUGCUGUUAUUUUGAAUGUGCAGUAAAAUUUCUGUUGUAUUACAUUCCUUUUCCAUCCCAAUGAAAAAAAAGAAGGAUGUCAAUAUUAAUUCAUAGGUAAUAGUACUUUCGUAUAUGAUAUGUUUUUAAUAAAGUUCUUUGUUUAAAAUUUCUCCUAUUUAUAAUCAUUUUAUAAAACAGCUCUUUUUUCUUGUAAUGUACAAAAGUGUGUUUCAGUGUUAAGCUAUGCAAUUUAUUCCUUUACAGUAACUAUUUUACCUUAAGACUAAUAAAAAAUAGGUUGAAUUGUAA